GUGUAGAUGGUGGAGAGAGACUGAGACUAGAGAGACUGUAGGUUAAGAAAACACUGGAUUUUCCACUAAUUCCUCAUGAAAGUGAUUUAAAGACUGCAUGAGAAAGCAGCUCGCAGCAGGAAGAGGACAUGAGGCGGAAGUAACCUGGACCAGCUGGGCCUUCACAGCCAUCUAAACAGCAUGUGAUUCCUCACAAUAAUAAUCAAAGGGUCUGGAUUUGCCCGACUGGAAGGCCUCCCUCAACCCAUCCACAACCUGCUUCUCCAUUUAAGCCUGGAUUAUA